rnacentral:rRNA from 1 species
AAUGAACGCUGGCGGUAGGCCUAACACAUGCAAGUCGAACGGCAGCACAGUGAGAGCUUGCUCUUACGGGUGGCGAGUGGCGGACGGGUGAUGAAUACAUCGGAAUCUACUUUUUCUUGGGUGAUAACGUAGGGAAACUUACGCUAAUACCGCAUACGACCUACGGGUGAGAGCAGGGGAUCUUCGGACCUUGCGCGAGUGAAUGAGCCGAUGUCGGACUAGCUAGUGGGCGGGGUAAAGGCCCACCAAGGCGACGGUCCGUAGCUGGUCUGAGAGGAUGAUCAGACAACCUGGAACUGAGAAACGUCCCAGACUCUGACGGUAGGCAGCAGUGCGGAAUAUUGGGCAAUGGGCGAAAGCCUGAUACAGCAAUACGGGGUGGGUGCAGAAGGACUUAGGCUUGUAAAGCGAUUUUGUUCGGAAAGAAAAGCAGCAGGUUAACACCACGAUGUUAUGACGGUACCCAAAGAAUAAGCCCCGGCUAACUUCGUG